GGAGAUGUAGCUCAGUUGGUAGAGCAGCAGGCUUUUAAUCUGCGAGUCAAGGGUUCAAAUCCCUUCAUCUUCA
rnacentral:tRNA from 1 species